GAUGAACGCUGGCGGCGUGCUUAACACAUGCAAGUCGAACGGUGAAGCAGGAGCUUGCUCUUGUGGAUCAGUGGCGAACGGGUGAGUAACGCGUGAGCAAUCUGCCCCUGACUCUGGGAUAAGCGCUGGAAACGGCGUCUAAUACUGGAUAUGUGAUGUGACCGCAUGGUCUGCAUCUGGAAAGAAUUUCGGUUGGGGAUGGGCUCGCGGCCUGUCAGCUUGUUGGUGAGGUAAUGGCUCACCAAGGCGUCGACGGGUAGCCGGCCUGAGAGGGUGACCGGCCACACUGGGACUGAGACACGGCCCAGACUCCUACGGGAGGCAGCAGUGGAGAAUAUUGCACAAUGGGCGGAAGCCUGAUGCAGCAACGCCGCGUGAGGGAUGACGGCCUUCGGGUUGUAAACCUCUUUUAGCAGGGAAGAAGCGAAAGUGACGGUACCUGCAGAAAAAGCACCGGCUAACUACGUGCCAGCCGCCGCCGUAA
rnacentral:rRNA from 1 species